CCUUAGUACCAAGAAUAGUUUCUGUCAUGUGGCAUAUGCUCAACAAAUAUUUGUUGAAUGACUGAAUGAAUGAAUCGGUAAGUUCUUUAUAUUGUUGAGUUAAAAGGAUGCCUUCUUGGAGACAGGGAAUGACCAAAAUGGAUUGAUUGGCCUUCUAUCUGACAAGCCUCUUGGAGGUAACCAGUUCUGUUAUAACUUUAGAUAAUCGUGUUAAAUUAAGCCAUGAGGUAUGACAGGAUGCAAAAUGCAAAGAGCAAGUCUAACACCAUGCUAAGUGUGAAUGAAAGCCUGAGAGUCGCCAAUUUUAUAAGGUGUUAAGUAAGACACCUUUUCUGAAAUUUGACCUAAGGGGUAAAAAAAGUAAGCCUCACUAUCUGAAAACAUAUUUGCACCAUAGACCUUAAAAUAAUCUGUUGUGUACCUAUAGACUAUUGUUUUGAUCAUCUGUAUCAAAUCUAUUAAGUAUUAGUUACUGAAUUCUGAAUAUAGGGUUUAUUUCUUUAUUCUGCUUAUUGUAGUCAUUGACAUUCAUAACCUUUCCCAGUGAGGCUUACAGCAGAGAGUCUGGGACGCAGGCCCCAGACUGUUAGGAUUUUAUGAGUCCUCCCCUUCUGUUAAUGACCUAGAGUUCUGGUAUUCUCUCUUAGACAGCUGGGGAUCUUUUUGCCAUAACCCUUGUAAUUGUUUAUAUGGCUUUCCUGGGCUGCUGAUGGCAGUACAGCAGCCUUCUUUGUUCCUGGGAUUGUGUUCCUCAGAAUGGAUAGGAAGGAGGCAUCUCUAGCAGACAGAUGUGAGAGCGAUCUCCCCACCCCAAGUUUCCUAUCACCCAUUUUUAUCACCACAAAACAGAGUUAAAGGCUGAAAAUAAGAUGGCUAAAUCACUGCAAUGAUUUAUCUUAUUUUUGUGACUUAAAAGCUAGUUUGCCACUAUGUGUAUAUGCUCUUGAGUAUGUCAAGCCACGAUUUAGAGCUUGGGCCUUCCUCCUAAUUCCCUUUACCAAAUUCUGAGCAAUGCAUUUUGCUGAUUGCAGUCCAGACUCAGAGUUCCUGCCAGACCACAUCCCUACUCUUGGUUUCUUUUAUGUAUUCUCUUUUAAACACACGUGCUAUGCCAAGCAAUUUCCAACCUAAUGGGAAUCAAUUAAAAUGAGAAAACAUGGAAGUGUAUUCACUGCUUGUUCUCUGCUCUCUUACAUAAUUUAUAAUGUGUUCUACUCAACUACCUGAGUAUUGGUCGGUGACCUCUGAGCCCAUUCGAAUAGACGUUCAUAGACAUUGCCAUCGUAACAGCCAAGUGCUGAGUUUAAGCUCUGAUCCGUGAAGUCAAAAGCAUCAGUUAACAAGAUGGCAUCCUUCCUGUGAGAGAAAACAAGAGUUUGUACUGUGGGAUCAUACCAAUGCUUUUACAAACUGCUUCUUUUUUUCCUCUUAAUGCUAAAAGGACUCAUGAUCCUGACAAAGAAGAAGAGAAAAUACAACAGUUGGACCCAAACGUGGAACGAACACUCUGCUUUUGUGACUUGGGAACUCCGAGAAGGCCCACAUGGCACUCUGCAGAAGCAUCAGGAAGCACACAGAAUAAUUUGGGCCAUCUGUUUUCUCCUGGAAACAAGCGGUGGGCUGGAUUCUCUGAGGAAUUCUCAUGGCAUGUUUGGACCAGAACAGUCUGCUCAGAAAAGAGAGAAGGUCCCUGCCUGGGGCUCUGAGGUGUUGGAGGUGGGACCAGGCUACCUCCCCAAGCAGUGAAGCCUGGCUGCUGGGAAGAAGGCAGAACCCAGAACACUGCUGCCGUCCUGCAGCCAGGGAUCGCUGCGUAGAGCCCAGCUGUGGCCCUACCUGCCCAGCAUCCACACCCCAGUCCUCGGGCUUUCUUGGGAAAACUGUCCUGUACUCUCAGACCAGGUAGUUCUUGGGACUCACCUCAGUCUCCCAGGCCUGGACAAAUAGAGCAUCCUGUCCUCUGGUCACAGUGAUUGAGCCUGGUGUGGUCAUGUGACCCAGGCCAGCCAAUGAAACUCAGUCUUGGGCCUUUUGCAGGGAUAAUUUGGGUGGGAGAAAGCUGUCUUCCCAGUGGGGUGCCAGCCUGGGCUAAUAUGCCAGCCAACCAGUGGCCUCCCUCCUUUACAUGAAGCAGCCCAUUCUCAUGUCCCAAAAACUGAAUCUAACAGAGGAGAACAGAGCUAAAGAUGGUAUGGAAGGGACCCUUGAUGACGUGGUUUGAACCCCUGGAUCCAGCUGGUCCUGAAGCCCGCUGUCUCUGGCCUUUUGUAUAUAUGAACCACUAAGUUCCUUGUUUUGCCUAAGUGAGUUGGAGUUUGGUUCAGAAACCUGACUAAAACAUCUGUGUCUGGCUUCUUUAGUAGGAUAAACUUACUGUCCCCAGGGCCUUUACUACCUGGCUUGGAUAAUGGGUACACAGUAUUUCUCUUGAACCUAAGUAGAAGUCUUGGCACCUGCUGCAUCUGAACUUUGGUGCCUAGAUCUUGACUUUGAACCCUCCCCAGAGGCAUCCCCUUUUAUAGGAAGCCCAGCAGUCUGGGUAUCACACAGACCUGAGUUCAAAUCCUGACUCUACCACCAGUUAGCUGGGUAAUGCUGUCUGAGCCUCAGUUUCCUCAUCAAUUAUAGUCCCACCUCUGGGAGUGUUGGGGGAUUGAAUGAGAUGAAGCCACAAAGCAUCUUGCAAGGUGCUGGCAGAUGGAGAUGCUGCUGGGACUAUUGUUAUUUGUGACUCAUCCACCCAGAGUAAAAGGAAGCCAGUGGAAGGUAUGGGCUGCUUUCAGGGCCUGCCCUCGCAGCUUCUGACUUUGUGAAUGAGUGCAUGAGUGAAUGGAAAGAAAAAAAAAAAACACAAGACACUUACACCUGG